rnacentral:rRNA from 1 species
GACGAACGCUGGCGGCGUGCUUAACACAUGCAAGUCGAACGGAGAUUCAGCAAUGGAUCUUAGUGGCGAACGGGUGAGUAACGCGUAGGCAAUCUGCCUUCUAGAUGGGGACAACAUCCCGAAAGGGGUGCUAAUACCGAAUGUUGUAUGAUCUUCGCAUGGAGAUGAUACUAAAGGUGGCCUGUGAAUAUGCUACCGCUAGAAUAUGAGCCUGCGUCUGAUUAGCUAGUUGGAGGGGUAACGGCCCACCAAGGCUUCGAUCAGUAGCCGGUCUGAGAGGAUGAACGGCCAGACUGGGACUGAGACACGGCCCAGACUCCUACGGGAGGCAGCAGUGGGGAAUCUUCCGCAAUGGACGAAAGUCUGACGGAGCAACGCCGCGUGAGUGAAGAAGGUUUUCGGAUCGUAAAGCUCUUUCGUUAGGGACGAACGUGCUCUUUGUGAAUAAUGAGGAGUAAUGACGGUACCUAAAUAAGAAGCCACGGCUAACUACGUGCCAGCAGCCGCCGUAA